rnacentral:tRNA from 1 species
GGCCCCGUAGCUCAGCUGGAUAGAGCGACCGCCUCCUAAGCGGUAGGUCGCAGGUUCGAAUCCUGCCGGGGUCG